AUUGAACGCUGGCGGCAUGCUUUACACAUGCAAGUCGAACGGCAGCACGGGCUUCGGCCUGGUGGCGAGUGGCGAACGGGUGAGUAAUAUAUCGGAACGUACCCAGAAGUGGGGGAUAACGUAGCGAAAGUUACGCUAAUACCGCAUACGAUCUAUGGAUGAAAGCAGGGGACCGCAAGGCCUUGUGCUCCUGGAGCGGCCGAUAUCUGAUUAGCUAGUUGGUGAGGUAAAGGCUCACCAAGGCGACGAUCAGUAGCUGGUCUGAGAGGACGACCAGCCACACUGGAACUGAGACACGGUCCAGACUCCUACGGGAGGCAGCAGUGGGGAAUUUUGGACAAUGGGCGCAAGCCUGAUCCAGCAAUGCCGCGUGAGUGAAGAAGGCCUUCGGGUUGUAAAGCUCUGUUGUCAGGGAAGAAACGGUAGAGGCUAAUAUCCUUUGCUAAUGACGGUACCUGAAGAAUAAGCACCGGCUAACUACGUG
rnacentral:rRNA from 1 species